GGGCUAUUAGCUCAGUGGUAGAGCGCGCCCCUGAUAAUUGCGUCUGGUUCAAGUCCAGGAUGGCCCA
rnacentral:tRNA from 1 species